GACGAACGCUGGCGGCGUGCCUAAUACAUGCAAGUUGAGCGCUGAAGGUUGGUACUUGUACCAACUGGAUGAGCAGCGCACGGGUGAGUAACGCGUGGGGAAUCUGCCUUUGAGCGGGGGACAACAUUUGGAAACGAAUGCUAAUACCGCAUAAAAACUUUAAACACAAGUUUUAAGUUUGAAAGAUGCAAUUGCAUUACUCAAAGAUGAUCCCGCGUUGUAUUAGCUAGUUGGUGAGGUAAAGGCUCACCAAGGCGAUGAUACAUAGCCGACCGGAGAGGGUGAUCGGCCACAUUGGGACUGAGACACGGCCCAAACUCCAACGGGAGGCAGCAGUAGGGAAGCUUCGGCAAUGGACGAAAGUCUGACCGAGCAACGCCGCGGGAGUGAAGAAGGUUUUCGGAUCGUAAAACUCUGUUGGUAGAGAAGGACGUUGGUGAGAGUGGAAAGCUCAUCAAGUGACGGUAACUACCCAGAAAGGGACGGCUAACUACGUG
rnacentral:rRNA from 1 species